GACGAACGCUGGCGGCGUGCCUAACACAUGCAAGUCGAACGAGGCCGGAGUGCUUGCACUCCGAGCCGAGUGGCGGACGGGUGCGUAACACGUGACCAACCUGUCUUUGGGUGAGGGACAACCUGGGGAAACCCGGGCUAAUACCGCAUGAAGUCCAGACCUCGCAUGGGGUCAGGAUCAAAGGGGGCCUCUGCUUGCAAGCUCUCGCCCAGAGAGGGGGUCGCGGCGAUCAGCUAGUUGGUAGGGUAACGGCCUACCAAGGCUACGACGCGUAGUGGGUCUGAGAGGACGACCCGCCACAUUGGGACUGAGAUACGGCCCAGACUCCUACGGGAGGCAGCAGUGGGGAAUAUUGCGCAAUGGCCGAAAGGCUGACGCAGCGACGCCGCGUGUGGGAGGAAGCCCUU
rnacentral:rRNA from 1 species